CCAAUAGCGUAUAUUAAAGUUGCUGCAGUUAAAAAGCUCGUAGUUGAAUUUCGGGACCAAUAUGUCGGUCGUGCCUCGGUACGUACUGGCAUCGUUGGUUUCUCCCUUCUGACGAACCAUGAUGUCAUUUAUUUGGUGUCGUGGGGAAUCAGGACUGUUACUUUGAAAAAAUUAGAGUGUUUAAAGCAGGCUCGCGCUUGAAUACAUUAGCAUGGAAUAAUGAAAUAGGACGUUUGAUUCUAUUUUGUUGGUUUCUAGGAUCGACGUAAUGAUUAAUAGGGAUAGUUUGGGGCAUUAGUAUUCAAUUGUCAGAGGUGAAAUUCUUGGAUUUAUUGAAGACUAACUACUGCGAAAGCAUUUGCCAAGGAUGUUUUCAUUAAUCAAGAACGAAAGUUAGGGGAUCGAAGACGAUCAGAUACCGUCGUAGUCUUAACCAUAAACUAUGCCGACUAGGGAUCGGAUGAUGUUGAUUUUUUAAUGACUCAUUCGGCGCCUUACG
rnacentral:rRNA from 1 species